AUACUUAUUUUGCAUAGGAGAUACCAUGGUCAUGAAGAUUGUUCUCCCAGGGUGAGGUUCAUUCAUUGCAUUCUGGGUAUGCUGACCCCUGUGAUUUCCCCAAAUGUGGGAAACUCGACUGCAUUAUUUGUGCUUUCUUCUGGUCAACUCUGGUAAAAAUCAGAUU